CAAGGAACAUGCAACUAAACAGCUUGCAUCCGUCGCCCCGGAGACGGUGUGCGUGCGGAUGCUCUGCUGCGAUAUAAAGUCUAAAACGACUCUCGGCAACGGAUAUCUCGGCUCUCGCAUCGAUGAAGAACGUAGCGAAAUGCGAUACUUGGUGUGAAUUGCA
rnacentral:rRNA from 1 species